ACCCUCCCGCUCCUUUUCUCAUCAGAUCUAAACACACUGGUCUUGGUGGUCACAAGAGGAGGAAUAAUAAUACUGAAGCUGGCCUUACAGGGCUCAUAGUCUGCCAUGUAAGCACAUAGGCUAGUUUUAGACAAGG